CCUACGGGAGGCAGCAGUGGGGAAUAUUGGGCAAUGGGCGCAAGCCUGACCCAGCAACGCCGCGUGAAGGAAGAAGGCUUUCGGGUUGUAAACUUCUUUUAUCAGGGACGAAGCAAGUGACGUUACCUGAGGAAUAAGCCACGGCUAACUACGUGCCAGCAGCCGCGGUAAUACGUAGGUGGCAACCGUUAUCCGGAUUUACUGGGUGUAAAGUGCGGGUAGGCGGGUGUGCAAGUCAGAUGUGAAAACUAUGGGCUCAACCCAGAGCCUGCAUUUGAAACUGUACUUCUUGAGUGCUGGAGAGGCAAUCGGAAUUACGUGUGUAGCGGUGAAAUGCGUAGAUAUACGGAGGAACACCAGUGGCGAAGGCGGAUUGCUGGACAGUAACUGACGCUGAGGCGCGAAGGCGUGGGGAGCAAACGGGAUUAGAUACCCUUGUAGUC
rnacentral:rRNA from 1 species